GGGAAUGUGGCCUAGUGGUAAAGUACUUGCCUAGCAUGCAUGAAGGCCCAGGUUCAAUUCCUCAGUACCA
rfam:Dipodomys ordii contig_25620, whole genome shotgun sequence.